rnacentral:rRNA from 1 species
CUAUGGAGCUUUAGACAAACGACUGAACCGUAUUCCCUGGCCCCUUCUCACGGGAACUAAAUUUAAUGGACCCUCUUUCAAUGUCUUCGGUUGGGGCGACCAUGGGGAAAACAAAACCCCCAAGUGGAAUAGGGGUAACGAAAACGUCGAUUACACCCCUUAAGGUAGAGCGACAGCUCAACACAACAGAAAUUCUGACCAAAAUGAUCCGGACAUUCCGAUCAACGGACCA